rnacentral:rRNA from 1 species
GAUGAACGCUGGCGGCGUGCCUAAUACAUGCAAGUCGAGCGAACAGACGAGGAGCUUGCUCCUCUGACGUUAGCGGCGGACGGGUGAGUAACACGUGGAUAACCUACCUAUAAGACUGGGAUAACUUCGGGAAACCGGAGCUAAUACCGGAUAAUAUAUUGAACCGCAUGGUUCAGUAGUGAAAGACGGUUUUGCUGUCACUUAUAGAUAGAUCCGCGCCGCAUUAGCUAGUUGGUAAGGUAACGGCUUACCAAGGCAACGAUGCGUAGCCGACCUGAGAGGGUGAUCGGCCACACUGGAACUGAGACACGGUCCAGACUCCUACGGGAGGCAGCAGUAGGGAAUCUUCCGCAAUGGGCGAAAGCCUGACGGAGCAACGCCGCGUGAGUGAUGAAGGUCUUCGGAUCGUAAAACUCUGUUAUUAGGGAAGAACAAAUGUGUAAGUAACUAUGCACGUCUUGACGGUACCUAAUCAGAAAGCCACGGCUAACUACGUG